CAUCAAACACCACUCGAUUUUUGGUCAUCCUUGAUUUGCUGUUAAGCCACUUGUAUUGAUGAAGUUGCUUUGAUCAGACUGACUCAGACCAUUGAGUACUGCCACUUGAUCAGUGCUAUUUCACUUUCUUGAUUUCUCUCUUUUUCUCUAUCAUAAUCUCUUUACCUUAUCUAUAAAUCUAGUAAAAGGUCUCGAGCCCUAUUGCUUUGAAUCCAAGUUGAUCCUAGUAAAAAAAUUUUGAACCAUCCUAUUGAUCA
rnacentral:lncRNA from 1 species